AAUACGUAUUCCUUAGCGGCGGACGGGUGAGUAACGCGUGAGGAAUCUUCCUCGCACAAGGGGAUAGCCUCGGGAAACCGGGAUUAAUACCCUAUGAUACUUACACUGCGCAUGCAGAGUAAGUUAAAGAAUAUCGGUGUGAGAUGACCUCGCGUCCCAUUAGCUAGUUGGCAGGGUAAAAGCCUACCAAGGCGACGAUGGGUAGCCGGCCUGAGAGGGUGAACGGCCACAUUGGAACUGAGACACGGUCCAGACUCCUACGGGAGGCAGCAGUGGGGAAUAUUGCACAAUGGAGGGAACUCUGAUGCAGCAACGCCGCGUGAGCGAAGAAGGUUUUAGGAUCGUAAAGCUCUGUCCUAGGGGAAGAUAAUGACGGUACCCGAGGAGGAGGCCCCGGCUAACCACGUGCCAGCAGCCGCGGUAAUACGUAGGGGGCGAGCGUUGUCCGGAAUUAUUGGGCGUAAAGGGUGCGUAGGCGGCUGAACAAGUCAGAUGUGAAAGGUUAAGGCUUAACUUUAAUAAGCAUAUGAAACUGUUCAGCUUGAGCUUAAGGAGAGGGGAGUGGAAUUCCUAGUGUAGCGGUGAAAUGCGUAGAUAUUAGGAGGAAUACCAGUGGCGAAGGCGACUCUCUGGACU
rnacentral:rRNA from 1 species